rnacentral:rRNA from 1 species
GACGAACGCUGGCGGCGUGCUUAACACAUGCCAGUCGAGCGGAAAGGCCCUGCUUGCAGGGUACUCGAGUGGCGAACGGGUGAGUAACACGUGGGUGAUCUGCCCUGCACUUCGGGAUAAGCCUGGGAAACUGGGUCUAAUACCGGAUAGGAGCCAUUUUUAGUGUGAUGGUUGGAAAGUUUUUUCGGUGUAGGAUGAGCUCGCGGCCUAUCAGCUUGUUGGUGGGGUAAUGGCCUACCAAGGCGGCGACGGGUAGCCGGCCUGAGAGGGUGGACGGCCACAUUGGGACUGAGAUACGGCCCAGACUCCUACGGGAGGCAGCAGUGGGGAAUAUUGCACAAUGGGCGCGAGCCUGAUGCAGCGACGCCGCGUGGGGGAUGACGGCCUUCGGGUUGUAAACUCCUUUCGCUAGGGACGAAGCUUUUUGUGACGGUACCUAGAUAAGAAGCACCGGCUAACUACGUG